rnacentral:rRNA from 1 species
GACGAACGCUGGCGGCGUGCUUAACACAUGCAAGUCGAACGAAGAGCGAUGGAAGCUUGCUUCUAUCAAUCUUAGUGGCGAACGGGUGAGUAACGCGUAAUCAACCUGCCCUUCAGAGGGGGACAACAGUUGGAAACGACUGCUAAUGCCGCAUACGAUCUGACCUCGGCAUCGAGGAUAGAUGAAAGGUGGCCUCUAUUUAUAAGCUAUCACUGAAGGAGGGGAUUGCGUCUGAUUAGCUAGUUGGAGGGGUAACGGCCCACCAAGGCGAUGAUCAGUAGCCGGUCUGAGAGGAUGAACGGCCACAUUGGGACUGAGACACGGCCCAGACUCCUACGGGAGGCAGCAGUGGGGAAUCUUCCGCAAUGGACGAAAGUCUGACGGAGCAACGCCGCGUGAGGGAUGACGGCCUUCGGGUUGUAAAGCUCGGUUAAUCGGGACGAAAGGCCUUCUUGCGAAUAGUUAGAAGGAUUGACGGUACCGGAAUAGAAAGCCACGGCUAACUACGUG